rnacentral:rRNA from 1 species
UGGUGGAGCGAUUUGUCUGGUUAAUUCCGUUAGCGAACGAGACCUCAGCCUGCUAACUAGCUAUGCGGAGGUACCCCUCCGCAGCUAUGCUUCUUAGAGGGACUAUGGCCGCUUAGGCCAAGGAAGUUUGAGGCAAUAACA